rnacentral:rRNA from 1 species
CACGUAGGCACCAAGCGUUGUCCGGAUUUAUUGGGCGUAAAGAGCUCGUAGGCGGUUCGGUAAGUCGGGUGUGAAAACUCUGGGCUCAACCCAGAGCCGCCACCCGAUACUGCUGUGACUUGAGUGCGGUAGGGGAGCGGGGAAUUCCUGGUGUAGCGGUGAAAUGCGCAGAUAUCAGGAGGAACACCAGUGGCGAAGGCGCCGCUCUGGGCCGUGACUGACGCUGAGGUGCGAAAGCGUGGGGAGCAAACAGG